GUGGCAGCGUGCUGUGGCCUCUGGAGCUCAUGAAGACGCCAGCAGUCACACUCGCAUCAUGGGAAGCAAGACCAGAGUGUUUUGUUUUCCUCCACCAAGGAAUCGGAAGUUACAGCCGCCUUCCUGCAAAACACAGGUGAUGCAGAUGUGCCGGUUAGAGGACACACGCUGAGAACCACUGCAGAGGUGGAUGCUGUGCUGGGCCACCAGAUUCCCCUUCAAGACUAAGGCACUCAGAGGGCUGGUGCUGACAGAGCUCAAGUCUGUCCCCAGAAGCUGCCCCUGCCCGAAGGGAGCUGCCUCACACCCAAGGCUACACACCCUCUUCUGGGGCCCACAUCUAAUGAUACAGGGGUACACAGAGACGUAUGCAGGUGAUAUCACAUCACGAAGAGGAACAAGGAAGUAGUCGCUUAAGGGCGCACGGAUGUGAGUGUCAGAUGUACGCAGAAACGGGCAGAACUCUGUGAGAACACCCCGUCCCACAGCAGAGCGCAGUCUCGUCCCACUUCCAAGUCUUUCCCUGGCAGAACCCUAAUAGUUUUAAAAGCAAAGUCACUGCGGUAAUAAGCACACAAAAUUAGGUUUUUGAACUGCUGGUGAUAACUCCAUCCUCAGUGUGGAAGAUACAAGUCAAACUUCCAACCAGGUUAUCUAGUUACUAAUUAAGAGGGACUCGGUCUUGUGGUCUCCCAAAUAAUCAUUCUUUUUGGGAAGCCACUUCCCCUCCUGAGACCGGUGUCCCAGGCGCACUGGCCUUUCCAGCAGAAGGGUCUUCAUCAAGGGCCACAGCUAAGUAACGGGAGAGCGGAAGCCGAGCUUAGCCAGUUAACUCAUUUGUUGGGCAGUGAUAGGGUACUUGGUGCUGCAGGGAAAACAAAACAGAUUGUGAGUCCUCAGGGCAGAUCCAAGUGAGACAGACACGAUGCUCCCUCCCUGCUGCUGCUAGCCAGUCUCGUGCCAACAAACCUGCUUAAAAUGCUGAAGCUGAGUCCAAGGUUGAGAAAAACAACUUCUGCCAGAGAGCACUCCGAGGGCACAGAUACACAGAUGCUCCUCUGACAAACACCCCGCACCCCUUUUACAGAUUGGAAAAUACAAGCUUCAGAAAGGGUGAGAUGAUUUAAACUUGGAGAUGAUAAGUAACAGGACCAGGAAAAGAUCCAGGUGUCUGAGCUCCUCACUCAAGCCCACACGCCGCUCCUCUGUGACUGUGGACGGUGGCUGCAGCCGCAGUACCUGACCUCCAGCACUCCCACCCCACCAGCCAGCGCCUUCAGGGCAUGAGAGGGGUCUUAGGUCAGCCUGAACAGCAUGUGCUGAAACGCUUCGUGCAGAAAACACUGGGCGCAGACGGGCUGAGCUGCUCUCGUUUCUCCUAUUGCCCAGAAGAGGGAAAUGCUGCCACAGACGGGUACACCUUUCAGCACACAGAAAGCCCUCCCGAUAGCAGAGGGACCUCAGCAAGGAGCGCCCCAGGGUAGGCACAGCAAGAAGCCCUAGCUGGCUCCAGUUCUGAAGACUAGCAGAUUCUGAUCAUAAUGAAUAAAAGAGAACAUGGAUAUUACACCACAGUUGUGUCCAAACCAACUUAGUCAAUGUGUCCAGGAAGACAGACUAUUAGGAGAGUAAAAGAUUGACCAUGUUUGAGGGAUCAAAGAUUGCAAGGUGCUCUCUGAGUGACAGCACCACUCCCACUGCAGUGCGCUGGUCUCUGGGCCAAGGAUGACCAGGGAGACUGCCAGGGAGUGGCCACGUCGCUGUCCAUGGUGUUCAACUCAGCCCUCCCAGCUUGCUCUGGCAGCCGCAUUUACUUCUUGGAGGGAAAAAUGCUUUUCUAGCCAGGGGGAUGGGGAUGAAAGACAAAAAGGAGCUGUCCUAAACCAACUCCAGAGACCGGGGUGGGGGGGGGUUGGGGGGGUUUACAAAUUAUAAGAAAUGUCAGAUAUGACGCUGGUCUCUUUGAAUAAUGAACAUCAAAGUGCUAAGUACUAAAUAAAAUGCAGAAUUAGUGUCUGCUCAGUGGGCCUGUGAUCUGAAUAGCGUAUAAGCUAUGAGCAACUGCCCGCUGCCUGCACUGCAGAACUCCUGGGAUGUGGGCACCAGCGUCCACACCUGGAGUCAGGUUCUAUUCAGAGCAUCCAUCCCACGGCCAUGGAAGCUACUUUUUGUUUAAAAUCAUGACCAAAAAAACCCCACUAGAAUGAGGAGUUAAAGAACUGAAAUUCUAUCUACUGCUUUUUCUUCUCAUGUUGAAUAAGCAGAAAAAUGGUGUAGAGAUGACUGUAUAAAGUGAUCCAAAAUAUUUUUAGCUGUAGGGAUCUCAGAGGUCCACAGUAUAUACUGAAAGCCUGUAUAUUUUUUUCAAAAAAUACAGGAAAAGCCUAUGUAAUCACAUUUUCUUCCUCCAUUAAAGUAAAUGUUUAUCUAGUUUCAAAAG